CUGGAAUGGUUCCUGACUAAGAUCUAUAUGGCCUCUGGAUUGGACUGCGGCCGAUCAGGCUGUUGGUGAGGUAAUGGCCCACCAAGCCUGUAACCGGUACGGGCUCUGAGAGGAGGAGCCCGGAGAUGGGCACUGAGACAAGGGCCCAGGCCCUAUGGGGCGCAGCAGGCGCGAAACCUCUGCAAUAGGCGAAAGCCUGACAGGGUUACUCUGAGUGACUUUCGCUAAGAAAGUCUUUUGGCACCUCUAAAAAGGGUGCAGAAUAAGGGGUGGGCAAGUCUGGUGUCAGCCGCCGCGGUAAUACCAGCACCCCGAGUGGUCGGGACGAUUAUUGGGCCUAAAGCAUCCGUAGCCGGUUCUGCAAGUCCCCCGUUAAAUCCAGCUGCUCAACAGAUGGGCCGCGGAGGAUACUACAGAGCUAGGAGGCAGGAGAGGCAAGCGGUACUCAGUGGGUAGGGGUAAAAUCCGUUGAUCCAUUGAAGACCACCAGUGGCGAAGGCGGCUUGCCAGAAUGCGCUCGACGGUGAGGGAUGAAAGCUGGGGGAGCAAACCGGAUUAGAUACCCGGGUAGUCCCAGCUGUAAACGAUGCAGACUCGGUGAUGGGUUGGCCUUGCGCCAACCCAGUGCCGCAGGGAAGCCGUUAAGUCUGCCGCCUGGGGAGUACGGUCGCAAGACUGAAACUUAAAGGAAUUGGCGGGGGAGCACCACAAGGGGUGAAGCCUGCGGUUCAAUUGGACUCAACGCCGGA
rnacentral:rRNA from 1 species